GGGCUGGUGGUCGAGCCUGGUUAAGAUGCCUGCCUCACACGCAGGAGGGCCCCGGUUCAAAUCCGGGCCAGCCCA
rnacentral:tRNA from 1 species